GUGAACGGCCCCAAUGUACAAGUUUGACGUCCAUAGGAGAGGACAUUAGUACAUCCUGCGAACAUCCAUAGGACGUCCAACUGAGAUAUCCAACUGGAUCAGGGCUAACCUCCAUAGGAUAUCCUUUGGAUAUAUCUGUGCUAGUAGGGUAACAGUUCUAUCAAUCCCCAUGACUGAGGAAACUAACAUUCCCAUGACUGAGAUGGGCAGUGACGAACCAAAAAAUUCACAGCUUGUCCCAGAUCCGGAAGAAGUCUUAGACGACUGUGGUUCGGGAAUAGAAAGAUUCACUAGGAUGAAUCUGAUUAUUGAUUCUGUAAUGUAGAAAUUAUCUUUACAGUAUUGAGAGAACAGUCAGUGGAGGAGAAUCGGCCUUCACUGACCUUAGACUUUGAUAAUAAUCAUUGUCUCGAAAUUAACCUUGUGGAAUCUCAAUCGAAAUGUCUUAAUCCCGGAAUUUAAAGUAAAAAUAUGUAAAGUUGGAAACCAAGAACUGAACUGGACGGACAAUCAACUUUAGAAGAAUUUUUGUUGGUGGCACAAGACUUUUUCACUUUACUGAAAUUACAGUAAAACCUUAUAAUUUGGCAAGUAUAAACAAAAAUAGGGAUUAGUCAAUUGUGUUAAUAUAAUCUGUGUAUCACAAUUAGUAAUGUCACGUCACCUGGAAAAAUUUCCCUCAUCAAGUGGAGCAUCACUUAAGAAAAAUCGGAUUGUGAAGAAACAGGAGAAAUUUUUAAUCCCAGAAUCGACUCCAGUUCGUGCCACAUCCAUGCGUUAACCCAUCAUUCAUAACAGAGUGGGUCUCCGUUAGCUGUAUAAUAAAGACGUCGGUCACCGCGGCAUCCAAAUCGAUCGUUGAUAUCGUGACAAAGUCCAUCUUGGCCAACGAAUAUUCUCUUUGACGACUACAAAGACGAGGACUGCAACGUGCCUGAAAUGAACCGCUUGAAAGAUCAAAGGUAACCCGUUGGUGAGUAUCGGCGCAAGGACCUCUCCUCAAAACAGGAAAAGAGUUUCCGUCACUGAAUUGGCUCCACAACCAUCAUCUGGGAAAUCAUUUUCAAUUACAGGAAAUGCUAUCGCCAAUUUCUUCAAUCAAUCCAGAUUUUCCGUUCAGCCAUCUGCGAUUUCACCAUGACCAACGCCCAUCUUUUUAAAAAUGUUAUUGGCACAAAUGCUGAAAGUUAUCUGCUGUAUUUUGUAUUAGUGGAUUCUCUUUUGUAUUUUUGAUUAAUACAUUAAAUUCAAAAUUGA